rnacentral:rRNA from 1 species
GUGAGGAAUAUUGCGCAAUGGACGAAAGUCUGACGCAGCCAUGCCGCGUGAAGGAUUGACGGCCCUAUGGGUUGUAAACUUCUUUUGUAUAGGAAUAAACCCUCGUUCGUGAACGAGGCUGAAGGUACUAUAAGAAUAAGCACCGGCUAACUCCGUGCCAGCAGCCGCGGUAAUACGGAGGGUGCAAGCGUUAUCCGGAUUUAUUGGGUUUAAAGGGUCCGUAGGCGGAUCGUUAAGUCAGUGGUGGAAUCCUACCGCUCAACGGUAGAACUGCCAUUGAUACUGGCGAUCUUGAGUAUGUAUGAAGUUGGCGGAAUGUGUGGUGUAGCGGUGAAAUGCUUAGAUAUCACACAGAACACCGAUUGCGAAGGCAGCUGACUAAUACACAACUGACGCUGAGGGACGAAAGUGUGGGGAUCAAACAGGAUUAGAUACCCCUGUAGUCC